GUGAAUAUCCACUUACACCCUAUGGACUUUAUCCUUUCGAGUGGAUCAACGAGUGUACAUACACCAUUGACAAUUAUAGACUCCAUUUCAGACUUUAUGGCUCUAAGCCAUUAAUCAAAGUCGGACCUCUGCAUAGCAUCUAUGUAGGUGAUCAGAUCCUUGUUAUUCUCAUCGAGUUCAAUAGGAUCACGUCCUGAGAUUAGAAAUUGAAGUAUCU
rnacentral:lncRNA from 1 species